rnacentral:misc_RNA from 1 species
CUGAGUUAGGGUCUUUACAGGCCCGACCUCCAACCCUUGUGUUUAACAUACCACGUUGCUUCGGCGGGCCCGUCUUUACAGACCGCCGGAGGGUGUCAAACCCCUCUGGCCCGCGCCCGUCGAUAGCCUCCAAACCAAAAUUCUUGAACAAUUAUGUCGUCUGAGUCUAAAAGUUAAUUAAAACA